rnacentral:rRNA from 1 species
AAUCAACGCUGGCGGCGUGCCUAACACAUGCAAGUCGAACGAGAAAGGGGACUUCGGUCCCUGAGUACAGUGGCGCACGGGUGAGUAACACGUGACUUAUCUACCCUCGAGUGGGGAAUAACUUCGGGAAACCGAGGCUAAUACCGCAUAAUACCCACGGGUCAAAGAGCAAUUCGCUUGAGGAGGAGGUCGCGGCCCGAUUAGUUAGUUGGCGGGGUAAUGGCCCCCACCAAGACGGUGAUCGGUAUCCGGCCUGAGAGGGCGCACGGACACACUGGAACUGAAACACGGUCCAGACUCCUACGGGAGGCAGCAGUGGGGAAUUUUGCGCAAUGGGGGAAACCCUGACGCAGCAACGCCGCGUGGAGGAUGAAGUCUCUUGGGACGUAAACUCCUUUCGAUCGGGACGAUUAUGGCGGUACCGGAAGAAGAAGCCCCGGCUAACUUCGUG